rnacentral:lncRNA from 1 species
GCCUAGCUGCUGCUUCAAGGACAAAGAGAGCUAGCACUUAGGUUUCUGUCAUAGCCGGAGGGCUCGGGCUUAUGAAGAAAUAAAUAAAUCAAAGACAGACUAUGCAGACAAAUGACCCCAGGCAUUUCAGUUCACUGGGUCCCUCCAGGGGGGGAAAAAUAAAAAACCGACCAGGAGAACGGAAGAAAUGCAGAAGGAAGGUCACUAAGGCAAGCCGGGAAGAGAAGGAGCAAUCCUUUCACUGCAGCAGAACAGCUCAUUCAAGGCAAGCACUUACCAUAAAAAUAGAAAGAGUCAACAGAAGGAGAAAGGAUCCUUCCUCGGUGUCUGUGGUAGACAGAAAUUCACCACGAACCUCGGCAAAGUGAUGGGAGGCAGCAAAGCUCUCCACACACAAGUCCUUUCAGCCUCCCCUCCAGCCCGCAUGCAGUUGUUUGUGCUGUAAAACCCCCGAGAAGUCUGGAACAGGACUCUCCGGAGAGCAAGCAAGCCGGAGUGAAAGCAGCCAGCCGGGGACCAAUUUCACCACAGUCUCAGAGCAUCACUCCCAGGACAGAGGCUGGACAUUCUGUGAUGCCUUCCAGCCAUGGGCAAACUGCAGGCUGACACAGAGGAGUCGGAAGAUCACUGCUUAAGGAGAGGGACUCUGUGAGGGGGACUUCGAGGGGGCAGCCUUUGGGAUGUUAAUUAACUAAUUAAUUAAUUAUUUUAAAGAUGGGGGGUACACUCGAAGCAGUUAGCCAGGCUUCAGAGUGAAGCAUAGCCGGAGGCCACAAAAAUGUUCCACAUCAAAGGCAAGCACAAUAAAAUGAAGUGUCUUUCCCUAAUUAACUAACGUGUUUAUUCACUUUAUAUUCCAGUAUCAGCCCCUCUCCUCUUCCCAGUCCCCCCCCCACAGCUCCUCCCUACAAAGUGAAGUUUCUUAUAUGAGGAGGCAAAGGAUGCUCAGCAUCGUGUACACUAAAGACGUGAACUCAAAAUGCUGCUUUAUUCUUCAUCUCAGCCCAACUCAAACCAGCAAACAUAGAAAGACCAGUGACUAUGCAUAAAGGGCAGAGAGAGAGGCUCCUUGCCUUCAAGAAAUGUACAGACCCACAGGCAAACUUAAAUCUCCUCUUGAGACACUACUAUUGUGGCCAAGGCAGAAACCAUACUUUAAAAAUGUGUUUCAGGUGAAUCAAGCUCUGAGGGUGGACUUCAGGCUCUGAACUCGUGUCGUGGGGCGUUUUCUAUAGCCACACCUACCUGUGAAACGUCACUGUGCAAAUACACUUUAUUAUAUUUAAUUGUUUUGUUUACCAGUGGGAGGUGGUAGGUACAUACAUGCCACCGUACAUGUACGGAGGACACCUUAUGACAGGCAGAUCUCUCCUUCUACCAUGCUGAUCCCAGGAAUUGAACUCCUAUGGUCAGGCUUUGCAGCAAGCACCUUAUGCUCUGAGCCAUCUCUCUGGCCCACUUUCAAAACCCAAUUUUUGAUGUUCUUUAGCAGAAUGCUCCUAAUGUGACAAAAACAUGGUCAGCAUAGCAAAUAACGAGUUUAAAGAGAGUAUUAUUUAAAGCUCCUGAAUAAUUGAGAUUAAUACUGUUUAUGAAACAGAUUCAAUACCUUGACUCUGUUAGAGGAUAAUGAAGCAUGAAAAGGGAUAAUUUUGCAGAGAUACAAAUUGCCUACUAGAUUAAAUAAUUGUACAAUCUAUAUGGCAAUUAGGUCAAUGAAAAUGGUAUUGUAGUCACUCAAAUGUAAUUAAUUUUUAGUUUAGUCAUUUCUCUAUUUUCUCUAUUUCUCUCUCUCUUUCUCUCUCUCUCUCAAAUAAUAAUAGAAAUUACUCAGCUUCAGACAGCAACAAACAUUGGAAUUUGUACUGUACAAACAAACAGAAACUGGAGGUAUCACACUGUGCCUUGUUGAACCUAACAUAUCAUAGGUUCCCAAAAAAUAUUUUUGAAUGGCCAUUUGAUCAGCCAAGAAGAAUCUUGCUCAAUGUCUAAAAGUGCAUGACUGGAUGCCUUCUUUUUAAAGACUUCUAGAUAUGCUGAACUAACUUUCUCUGAGUUGAAUUUGGUAGCUACAUAAGAAAAGAAAAAAAAGAUCACUUUUUCUGGAAAUCAUCUCUCAGCAAACUUGCUGACAAUGCUUUAAAAGACCAGAGAUAAAGAUUCUUCCAGGUUAGUCUUUCAAAAACAGGGUGGAAACAAUAAAGUUGAGGCCGACCUUUGGUAACCAUCUUAAGAAGAAAAAGUUGUUUUUUUUUUAAGUCUUCUUUUACAAGGGUAAAUGGCUGUAUAAUUCUCCGUACACAUGUGCUCAUAAUUUGUGUGUGAAUAAAGAUACUACAUACUGCGGCAUGCAUGAGGGCCAAAGGG